GGCGGCGUGCCUAAUACAUGCAAGUAGAACGCUGAAGCUUGGUGCUUGCACCGAGCGGAUGAGUUGCGAACGGGUGAGUAACGCGUAGGUAACCUGCCUGGUAGCGGGGGAUAACUAUCGGAAACGAUAGCUAAUACCGCAUAAUAGUAGAUGUUGCAUGACAUUUGCUUAAAAGGUGCAAUUGCAUCACUACCAGAUGGACCUGCGUUGUAUUAGCUAGUUGGUGAGGUAACGGCUCACCAAGGCGACGAUACAUAGCCGACCUGAGAGGGUGAUCGGCCACACUGGGACUGAGACACGGCCCAGACUCCUACGGGAGGCAGCAGUAGGGAAUCUUCGGCAAUGGACGGAAGUCUGACCGAGCAACGCCGCGUGAGUGAAGAAGGUUUUCGGAUCGUAAAGCUCUGUUGUAAGAGAAGAAACGAGUGUGAGAAGUGGAAAAGUUCAAC
rnacentral:rRNA from 1 species